GAUGAACGCUAGCUACAGGCUUAACACAUGCAAGUCGAGGGGUAGCAGGGUAGCAAUACCGCUGACGACCGGCGCACGGGUGAGUAACACGUAUCCAACCUUCCCAUAACUCUGGGAUAGCCUUUCGAAAGAAAGAUUAAUACCGGAUGGUACUUUUUCAAGGCAUCUUGAGAAAGUUAAAGAUUUAUUGGUCAUGGGUGGGGAUGCGUUCCAUUAGAUAGUUGGUGAGGUAACGGCUCACCAAGUCUUCGAUGGAUAGGGGUUCUGAGAGGAAGGUCCCCCACAUUGGUACUGAGACACGGACCAAACUCCUACGGGAGGCAGCAGUGAGGAAUAUUGGUCAAUGGGCGAGAGCCUGAACCAGCCAAGUAGCGUGAAGGAUGAAGGUCCUAUGGAUUGUAAACUUCUUUUAUAGUAGAAUAAAGUGAUCCACGUGUGGAUUUUUGUAUGUAUACUAUGAAUAAGGAUCGGCUAACUCCGUGCCAGCCGCCGCCGUAA
rnacentral:rRNA from 1 species